rnacentral:tRNA from 13 species
CCCGCCGUAGCUCAGCCCGGUUUAGAGCGCCCGGCUGUAGAUAGGGGACAGUAACCGGGUGGUCCGGGGUUCAAGUCCCCGCGGCGGGA